rnacentral:rRNA from 1 species
CAGCCGCCGCGGGAAUACGAAGGGUGCAAGCGUUACUCGGAAUUACUGGGCGUAAAGCGUGCGUAGGUGGUGGUUUAAGUCCGUUGUGAAAGCCCUGGGCUCAACCUGGGAAUUGCAGUGGAUACUGGGUCACUAGAGUGUGGUAGAGGAUAGUGGAAUUUCCGGUGUAGCAGUGAAAUGCGUAGAGAUCGGAAGGAACAUCUGUGGCGAAGGCGACUAUCUGGGCCAACACUGACACUGAGGCACGAAAGCGUGGGGAGCAAACAGGAUUAGAUACCCCUGUAGUCCGUCUCUUAUACAC